rnacentral:rRNA from 1 species
GAUGAACGCUGGCGGCGUGCCUAAUACAUGCAAGUCGAGCGAACAGACGAGGAGCUUGCUCCUCUGACGUUAGCGGCGGACGGGUGAGUAACACGUGGAUAACCUACCUAUAAGACUGGGAUAACUGCGGGAAACCGGAGCUAAUACCGGAUAAUAUAUUGAACCGCAUGGUUCAAUAGUGAAAGACGGUUUUGCUGUCACUUAUAGAUGGAUCCGCGCCGCAUUAGCUAGUUGGUAAGGUAACGGCUUACCAAGGCAACGAUGCGUAGCCGACCUGAGAGGGUGAUCGGCCACACUGGAACUGAGACACGGUCCAUACUCCUACGGUAGGCACCAGUAGGGAAUCUUCCGCAAUGGGCGAAAGCCUGACGGAGCAACGCCGCGUGAGUGAUGAAGGUCUUCGGAUCGUAAAACUCUGUUAUUAGUGAAGAACAAAUGUGUACGUAACUGUGCACGUCUUGACGGUACCUAAUCAGAAAGCCACGGCUAACUACGUG